AAUGCAGGGAGGGGGCUGUGGGAAAGCCGGGAUGCCUGAGAGGAGGGAACAUCCCUGGAGGCAUCACAGACAGAGCCUCUCCUCUGGGACCUGAACAGGAAAACUCCGAGAGAGUCCCUCAGGAAUUCAAAGAGGCUGAUAUUUUCCAGUUUUAUCUCCUGGAGCAACCCUGCAGUGCAGCAGUGAAGAGUGAGGAGAGCAAGAGGUGGUGCCAGUCCCUGUCCUGCCCUCUAUUCCUUUCCUAUCCUAUGGAGAACUGAGCCUGAAGUCUCAGAGCUGCCCUUCAGGCAUUGAGGAUUUUUAGAAUGGUUGGAUUGGAAUGGACCCUACAGCUC
rnacentral:lncRNA from 1 species